rnacentral:rRNA from 1 species
UUUCCGUAGGUGAACCUGCGGAAGGAUCAUUAACUAGUAUUGAAGUCCACGGGGAUCAGGCUUUCCGAAAGGAGGGUGGGGGGAUGUUUGGUUCCCCCUGCUUGGGUAGACUGGAGAGCAUGGUGUAGCUAUCGUAAUGGUAGCUAGAUUA